ACCUGUCACUUCCUAUCAGCAUACCAGUCACACUUCUCCUGUGAGGAUCUGUGUGGAGUUUCUGGGGGAAGUCUAGCUCACUUGUGCUGAGAUGCUCAGCUGGCAGGGAGCCCGAGACCACUCCAUCAUCACAGGUCACAUCGGAAAGCCUCAUCAGAACUGCUCUUCUCUUCAGAAAGAUGUCUCAGAGGGUUUCCAGGGUGAUUCAGAACAUCCUCCUGAGAUGCUGAGACACUCAGGUCAGAGGAUGCGUCUAGACGCAGGAGUCUACACUGUUUCCCAAGCAUCAUCAAACCCUGCAAUAGUCUUUCAAAUCUGCCCUAGCCAUUGAAAAGGAGUCCUCGGGUGUACAUUUGCAUCUCUCUGCUUCUACCCUCAGCUAUCCAUGGAAACCACAUACCCCAAACACUCCAGGAGAGUUCUAACAUCAAAUAUUCUCGUCUUUCUGAUUGCAUCAACUCUUCAGAGCCCACAGGCUCCAGGCUUUGGUUCAGAAAAUACCGCAUACUUAGUUUCAUUACUGACCUGCCCCCAUCCCAUCCCCAU